rnacentral:rRNA from 1 species
GACGGAGGAUGCAAGUGUUAUCCGGAAUCACUGGGCGUAAAGAGUAUGUAGGCGGCUAUUUAAGUCAGGCGUGCAAGCCCACGGCUCAACCGUGGAAUUGCGUUUGAAACUAUUUAGCUUGAGUACAGGAGAGGAAGGCGGAAUUCCCAGUGUAGCGGUGAAAUGCAUUGAUAUUGGGAAGAACACCGGUGGCGAAGGCGGCCUUCUGGUCUGAUACUGACGCUGAGAUACGAAAGCCAGGGGAGCGAACGGG